rnacentral:tRNA from 1 species
AAUAAGAUGCCUGAAAUUUAAGGAUUAUUUUGAUAGAAUAAAUUAUGUAUUAUUUAUACUCUUAUUG